rnacentral:lncRNA from 1 species
UGAGACAAAUUUUGAGAAGCCACUUUCCUCUUUGAUCCAACCACAGUCCUAUGGCCAUUAUCUAACACUUCAAACAACUUUGAUUCCAUUUUAUCUACAGGUAAACUAUCUAUUUACAAGUAUCAAACAAGAAGGCUAAACGCUAAAGUAACAUAGUAUAAAUCCUCUGCGAUAGCUAUCUAUUUACAAGCAUCAAACAAGAAGGCUAAACGCUAAAGUAACAUAGUAUAAACCCUCUGUGAUAAAUUUCCGAGAAGCAACGUCAUGGUGUAGAAAAUGCAAAACCUAGCAAAGGAAAAGAAUAGGAAGUCAAUCAGUCAAAAAAGGAAAUCCAGAACAGCAUCUUCAUGUAUUAAUCAACAAAUUAAAAGGAAUUGUCCAGCUUCAGAAAUUAUGGAAAGCAGACACUCGACCAACUGAACAAAGGCAUUGCACAGAGAUAUAGAGGUCAAUA